UGAGGCAAGUGAAAUAGAACCUGAAACCGUGUGCCUACAAUCAGUCAGAGGGCUAUGCAGUUCUUCGGAGCUGAAUGCCUGAUGGCGUGCCUAUAGAAGAAUGAUCCGACGAGUUACUGUAUGUAGCGAGGUUAAGCCGAUAAUGGCGGAGCCGCAGCGAAAGCGAGUCUUAAUAGGGCGAUAGUUGCAUAUAGUAGACCCGAAACCAGGUGAGCUACCCUUGGCCAGGAUGAAGCUUUGGUAACACAAAGUGGAGGUCCGAAUGCCUCAACGUUGAAAAGUUGAGUAAUGAGCUGUGGGUAGGGGUGAAAAGCCAAUCGAACCUGGAGAUAGCUGGUUCUCCCCGAAAUAGUUUUAGGACUAGCCUCGGAAAAGAAUCUGAUGGGGGUAAAGCACUGGAUGGGCUAGGGGGCACACCAGCUUACCAACCCCAACCAAACUCUGAAUACCAUCAGAUGUUCUCCGGGAGUCAGGCACAGUGAGAUAAGUUUCUGUGUCGCGAGGGAAACAGCCCAGACCGUCGGUUAAGGUCCCAAAGUAUAUGCUGAGUGGGAAAGGAUGUGGAGGUCCUCAGACAGCCAGGAGGUUGGCUUAGAAGCAGCCAUUCCUUUAAAGAGUGCGUAAUAGCUCACUGGUCGAGGGCUUCUGCGCCGAAAAUGUAACGGGGCUAAGCAUAUCACCGAAGCCACGGGUCUAGUAGUAUUUCGAUACUAUUGGGCGGUAGGGGAGCGUUCUGCCGUAGGAAGAAGGCAUACCGCGAGGAGUGCUGGACGAAGCAGAAGUGAGAAUGUCGGAACGAGUAGCGAUAAGACGGGUGAGAAACCCGUUCGCCGUAAACCUAAGGUUUCCUGGGGAAGGUUAAUCCUCCCAGGGUUAGUCGGUCCUAAGCUGAGGCCGAGAGGCGUAGGUGAAGGGAAACAGGUUAAUAUUCCGUACCAUGGUCAGUUGUUCUAUCGAUGGAGUGACGCAGGAGGUUAUACCCGCACGGAAAGAAAUUGCCGUGUCGAACGGUGUAGGCAGUGAUCGCAGGCAAAUCCGCGGUUGCUAUCAAGCUGAGGCCGGACAGGCCACCGAAUUAAGUAGGUGGAAGGAGUAGAUACCACGCUGCCGAGAAAAGCUUCUAAGAGAGACUGAUUGUGACCGUACCGUAAACCGACACAGGUGGGUGAGGAGAAUAUCCUAAGGCGCUCGAAAGAACCCACGUUAAGGAACUCGGCAAAUUAACUCCGUAACUUCGGGAGAAGGAGUGCUCCGGUAGGGUGACUGGAAUACAUAGGAAACUUUGUAUCGAAAGGUAGCCCGAUGGAGUCGCAGAGAAUAGGCUCAGGCGACUGUUUAUCAAAAACACAGGACUCUGCUAAAGCGAAUAGCCGACGUAUAGGGUCUGAUGCCUGCCCAAUGCUGGAAGGUUACGGGGAGGAGUCAGGAGUGGUAACAUUCCGAAGCUCUGAACUUAAGCCCCAGUGAAUGGCGGCCGUAACUAUAACGGUCCUAAGGUAGCGAAAUCCCUUGUCAGGUAAGUUCUGACCCGCAUGAAUGGCUUAACGGUCUGAUUACUGUCUCAACGUGGGGUUCGGCGAAACUGUGCACCGGGUGAAGACGCCCGGUAUCCGCAUCAGGACAAAAAGACCCCGUGGAGCUUUACUGUAUCUUGAUAUUGGAUUUUGGCCUGUUAUGUAGAGCAUAGGUGGGAGACUAUGAAGUUAGGGCGCCAGCCUUGGCGGAGUCGACAAUGGAAUACCACCCUUAUCAGUCUGGAAUUCUAACCUUGGCCCGUUGAUCCGGGUCGGGGACAGUGUCAGGUGGGCAGUUUGACUGGGGCGGUCGCCUCCUAAAGAGUAACG
rnacentral:rRNA from 1 species